rnacentral:lncRNA from 1 species
UUUGAAAGUUUAUUUAUUAUACAUUUCAUCACAUUAAAGUGCUAUUUCAAAAUUUUUUAAAAAUUUAAAUAUUUUCACUAAUUCACGAUAACCUAUCUAAAAUAGAUGUUCGGUAGAGAGACAGAAGUUAAUAGAGAUGAUAUAUUCAUAAGAUAGUAAGUAUUUGUAAGAAUAUUUGUGAUGUAUAGGGAUAUUUAUGAUAUUUUGAACGUUUAGAGGGGUAUGAAUGAAAUUAACUCUUCAUUAGUAAUAGUUGGAACAUUUAGAAAGGCAAUUAUGAAAAGUGUAAAAUUGGUAUUUUGAUUGCUGUUAUGUAGAUUUUAACAAAAAUGUGUUUUAAAGGGUAUUUUUAAAAGUUUUCUAUAUUUAGAUGGGCAUUAAAGAUAUUUCAAUUUUUAUAGGGGCAUUUUUGUAAAUAAGUGCUUCUAGAGGGGCAUAUAGGAAAAUUUUCCUAUAAACUUUAUACCUAGUUAAAUUAAUUUAAAAAUUUAGGCUAAAUUACAGAAAACCCCCCUGUCAAAACCCGAUUUUUUACUUUCCCUCCCUAUCAUUUAAAAACCUACACUUUACUCCCUUAUAAAAUGAAAAAUGUGCACUUCACUUCCUACCGUUAGUGAUCCGUUAGGGUUUCGUUAUAAAAUAUUUUUUUAUGCCCAAAACACCCUUCCGCCCUCUUUCCUGUUGCUUCGCCUCCCUUCGGCUCGCCGCCUCGCCGCCUCCUCGCCGUCUCGCCCUCCUCUACUGCCUUGCCCUCGCCCUCGUCCAUAUCCCCUUCGCCUUCCUCUGCCGCCUCACCUUCGCUCUCCUUGCCCUUGCCUACCUCUCCAUCAGCGCCCACCUCGAUUUCCUCCCUACUGUCGCCGAAAUCGAGGGCUGGCGAGGGUAUAGGAGAAGAAGGGAAGCAGGUGGAGAAGAAAAUGGAGAGAAAUCGCGGCCGAUUAAGGUGUGAAUCGCGGCCGAUCGAGGCGGCGGUUGAGGAAGAUGAGAGAGGAGACGAAAAUGGUGAGUGGCAAAAUAGUCAUUUCACACACCGUAUCCUCCCGUGAAUAUUUUUUAUUUUACAAGAGGGCAAAGUGUAGGUUUUAAAUGACAAGGGGGAAAGUGAAAAAUCGGAUUUUGAUAUGAGAGUGCUAUGUAAUUUAGCCAAAGAUUUAUAUAUUUAGUAGAUAAGGAGUGUGACGGAAUAUUUAGAAUGAAAUAUAAUAUUCGAUCUUUAAAAUAUUUUUUAGAAUAAAAUAAAUCAGUAUGCAUGUGAAAUAUGUUAUUCUAAUAAAUUACGAAUAGUAAGGCCUUUAAAGAAGCAGAAAUUAAGUCCUUACUUAUAGCCAUACUAGAAAAUUUCUGUGCAUCGAAUAAGUAUCCGAUAUCCAAAUAUGACCUUACUGAUGGAUAUAAGAACAUGGUAAAAGACUUGAAUUCAAGUCUUGAACACGGCUAAAAGUAAAAAUUUUAGAAUUUAUGAUCAGAGAUACUGAUCUUACUCUAAAUAGUGAAGAGAAUUUUUUAUUAAAAUUUCAUCAGAUUUGUAUUGUUUAGCACUAUUAAAUUCACAAAAGCAUCACGUCGCCCUUUAAAAUUGUCAAUUUUGAGACCUUUUGAUCGCAAGUCAAAUAAUGUCGAAAAAUAUAAAAUUUGGUUUCUAAAUAUUUUCAAUAAUGUAGAUCAAGUUUAACGGAACUGAUUAUCGACUCAAAAGCCGCAUCAUCAAAAACAACUUGGUAGCACAGAGCUUUCCCUGCUACCAAUAAUAUAGUAGCCGGACUCUGUAAAGAAUACUACUUAUA